UAAGGCUAUUCGAGAGGAUGAUUCAAAAAUAGAAUCUUAGAACACAGAAUCGGAUUAUCUCACCUUGAUCGUUGCGAGCAGUGAAGAGGAUGCAAGCAGUCUCAUCUCCAACAAGACACUCAGAGAUCCUAGCAGGUCGGAGAUGAGAAGAAGAAGCAGCUCCCGGUUUCUGAGGUACGGAAUUCUGAUCGACGACUUUAACAGUCAAAGUGUGGCCGCUCGUUCCAGGUUUAAGCUGAUCCACUUUGACAAACACCGGUUUCUUCUUCUCCUGCGGCGUAUGCUGUGGUGGCUGAUUCUGAGAAGUUCGCGUUGACGAAGACGGAGGCGGCGGAUUUCUUCCCUGUCGCCGCGGAGGAGGUGGUCCGUUUCUUUGCCGUGGUCUAUGCUGGAAAUUGUCGUUGCUGGUGUUUGACGCCAUUGGGACUGAAGAAAAUCUCGAAACGAACAAAAUCUCUCUAUGUGAACUCUUCUUCUUCGAUCUCUAGAAGAAAGCCCUAGAUUUAUGAGUCUUUUUU